CAUCCAUUGAUCCCUCGCCCGGCACUUUUUAAUCUGAUUCUCCCCUUCUCUUCUCUGAUUGAUCGACCCAAAUCAUCCUCUUGUUCAAUCGUAGAAUUUAACAUGGGUACGGUGGAGGAACAGACUUCGCUUCUGGAGGACGGGCUCCUGGAACAGAACAAAAGCAAUGGGCUCUAUACUGGUGAUGGCUCAGUUGACCUUCGUGGCAAUCCUGUACUUAAGGAGAAGACAGGAAAUUGGAAAGCAUGUCCUUUCAUUUUGGGUACUGAAUGUUGUGAGCGUUUGGCCUAUUAUGGGAUCGCCACUAAUCUUGUUACUUAUCUUACCAAUAAGCUGCACGAAGGAAAUGUGUCUGCGGCUAGAAAUGUUACAACCUGGGCAGGCACUUGCUACAUUAUGCCCCUCAUUGGAGCUGUCCUGGCAGAUGCUUAUUGGGGAAGAUAUUGGACAAUAGCUGCUUUCUCAACAAUCUAUUUAAUUGGGAUGUGUACCUUGACACUCUCAGCUUCAGUUCCCGCAUUAAAGCCAGUUGAAUGUGUGGGUUCUAUAUGUCCUCCUGCAAGUCCAGCUCAAUAUGCAGUGUUCUUCUUUGGGCUUUAUCUGAUUGCACUUGGGACAGGUGGUAUCAAGCCUUGUGUUUCUUCCUUUGGGGCUGACCAAUUUGAUGACACUGAUCCUCAGGAAAGGGUGAAGAAGGGAUCUUUCUUCAACUGGUUUUAUUUUUCUAUCAACAUUGGUGCUCUUAUAUCAAGUAGUCUACUGGUUUAUAUUCAAGACAAUGCUGGGUGGGGUCUGGGAUUUGGAAUUCCUGCAUUAUUUAUGGGCAUUGCUAUUGCAAGCUUCUUUUCAGGCACAACCCUCUAUAGAUUUCAGAAACCAGGGGGGAGUCCUAUUACAAGAAUGUGCCAGGUUUUGGUUGCAUCAUUCCGUAAGAGGAAUCUGGAGGUUCCCAGCGAUAGUAGUCUCCUAUAUGAAACACAAGAAGGAAGCUCAGCGAUUGAAGGGAGCAGAAAGCUGGAGCAUAGCAAUGGCUUGAAGUGCCUUGAUAAAGCUGCUGUAAUUUCAGAUACUGAUGCCAAAAGUGGUGACUUUUCCAAUCCAUGGAGGCUUUGUACAGUGACACAGGUGGAGGAAUUGAAGAUUUUGGUCCGCAUGUU
rnacentral:misc_RNA from 1 species